rnacentral:rRNA from 1 species
AUUGAACGCUGGCGGCAGGCCUAACACAUGCAAGUCGAGCGGCAGCGGAAAGUAGCUUGCUACUUUGCCGGCGAGCGGCGGACGGGUGAGUAAUGUCUGGGAAACUGCCUGAUGGAGGGGGAUAACUACUGGAAACGGUAGCUAACACCGCAUAACGUCGCAAGACCAAAGAGGGGGACCUUCGGGCCUCUUGCCAUCAGAUGUGCCCAGAUGGGAUUAGCUAGUAGGUGGGGUAACGGCUCACCUAGGCGACGAUCCCUAGCUGGUCUGAGAGGCUGACCAGCCACACUGGAACUGAGACACGGUCCAGACUCCUACGGGAGGCAGCAGUGGGGAAUAUUGCACAAUGGGCGCAAGCCUGAUGCAGCCAUGCCGCGUGUAUGAGGAAGGCCUUAGGGUUGUAAAGUACUUUCAGCGGGGAGGAAGGUGUUGAGGUUAAUAACCUCAGCAAUUGACGUUACCCGCAGAAGAAGCACCGGCUAACUCCGUGCCAGCCGCCGCAGUAA